GGGUAGGGGAGCGUUCUGUAAGCCUGCGAAGGUGUGCUGUGAGGCAUGCUGGAGGUAUCAGAAGUGCGAAUGCUGACAUAAGUAACGAUAAAGCGGGUGAAAAGCCCGCUCGCCGGAAGACCAAGGGUUCCUGUCCAACGUUAAUCGGGGCAGGGUGAGUCGACCCCUAAGGCGAGGCCGAAAGGCGUAGUCGAUGGGAAACAGGUUAAUAUUCCUGUACUUGGUGUUACUGCGAAGGGGGGACGGAGAAGGCUAUGUUGGCCGGGCGACGGUUGUCCCGGUUUAAGCGUGUAGGCUGGUUUUCCAGGCAAAUCCGGAAAAUCAAGGCUGAGGCGUGAUGACGAGGCACUGCGGUGCUGAAGCAACAAAUGCCCUGCUUCCAGGAAAAGCCUCUAAGCAUCAGGUAACAUCAAAUCGUACCCCAAACCGACACAGGUGGUCAGGUAGAGAAUACCAAGGCGCUUGAGAGAACUCGGGUGAAGGAACUAGGCAAAAUGGUGCCGUAACUUCGGGAGAAGGCACGCUGAUAUGUAGGUGAAGUCCCUCGCGGAUGGAGCUGAAAUCAGUCGAAGAUACCAGCUGGCUGCAACUGUUUAUUAAAAACACAGCACUGUGCAAACACGAAAGUGGACGUAUACGGUGUGACGCCUGCCCGGUGCCGGAAGGUUAAUUGAUGGGGUUAGCGCAAGCGAAGCUCUUGAUCGAAGCCCCGGUAAACGGCGGCCGUAACUAUAACGGUCCUAAGGUAGCGAAAUUCCUUGUCGGGUAAGUUCCGACCUGCACGAAUGGCGUAAUGAUGGCCAGGCUGUCUCCACCCGAGACUCAGUGAAAUUGAACUCGCUGUGAAGAUGCAGUGUACCCGCGGCAAGACGGAAAGACCCCGUGAACCUUUACUAUAGCUUGACACUGAACAUUGAGCCUUGAUGUGUAGGAUAGGUGGGAGGCUUUGAAGUGUGGACGCCAGUCUGCAUGGAGCCGACCUUGAAAUACCACCCUUUAAUGUUUGAUGUUCUAACGUUGACCCGUAAUCCGGGUUGCGGACAGUGUCUGGUGGGUAGUUUGACUGGGGCGGUCUCCUCCUAAAGAGUAACGGAGGAGCACGAAGGUUGGCUAAUCCUGGUCGGACAUCAGGAGGUUAGUGCAAUGGCAUAAGCCAGCUUGACUGCGAGCGUGACGGCGCGAGCAGGUGCGAAAGCAGGUCAUAGUGAUCCGGUGGUUCUGAAUGGAAGGGCCAUCGCUCAACGGAUAAAAGGUACUCCGGGGAUAACAGGCUGAUACCGCCCAAGAGUUCAUAUCGACGGCGGUGUUUGGCACCUCGAUGUCGGCUCAUCACAUCCUGGGGCUGAAGUAGGUCCCAAGGGUAUGGCUGUUCGCCAUUUAAAGUGGUACGCGAGCUGGGUUUAGAACGUCGUGAGACAGUUCGGUCCCUAUCUGCCGUGGGCGCUGGAGAACUGAGGGGGGCUGCUCCUAGUACGAGAGGACCGGAGUGGACGCAUCACUGGUGUUCGGGUUGUCAUGCCAAUGGCACUGCCCGGUAGCUAAAUGCGGAAGAGAUAAGUGCUGAAAGCAUCUAAGCACGAAACUUGCC
rnacentral:rRNA from 1 species